CAGCUAAUUUUACCAGGAGUGGAAAUAAAUUAAAUCAUCAGAAAGAUACUCGUCAGGCAACUUUUCUUUUCAGAAGAGGCCUGAAGGUUCAGGCCCAGUUGAAUACAGAACAACUGCUAGACGAUGUAGUAGCAAAGAGAACUCGUCAAUGGCGAACUUCCACUACAAAUGGAGGAAUUUUGACUGUAUCUAUUGACAAUCCUGGAGCAGUGCAAUGCCCAGUAACACAGAAACCA